AACGCACAUUGCGCCCGCCAGCAUUCUGGCGGGCAUGCCUGUUCGAGCGUCAUUUCAACCCUCGAGCCCGACUCUUUUGAGGACGGCUCGGCGUUGGGGGACGGCAGACUCCCCCCGGCAUCUCGCCGGGGACGCCGCCCCCGAAAUCUAGUGGCGGCCCUCCGAGGCGACCUCUGCGUAGUAACUUGUUCUCGCACCGGAAAGCUCAGAGCGGCCACGCCGUAAAACCCCAACUUUUUUCAGGUUGACCUCGAAUCAGGUAGGACUACCCGCUGAACUUAA
rnacentral:misc_RNA from 1 species